GGUUAAGCGACUAAGCGUACACGGUGGAUGCCCUGGCAGUCAGAGGCGAUGAAGGGCGUGCUAAUCUGCGAUAAGCGCCGGUAAGGUGAUAUGAACCGUUAUAACCGGCGAUACCCGAAUGGGGAAACCCAGUGUGAUU
rnacentral:rRNA from 7 species